GACAGAGGGGGCAAGCGUUGCUCGGAAUCACUGGGCGUAAAGGGCGCGUAGGCGGGAUGGCAAGUCGGUCGUGAAAUCCUUCGGCUCAACCGAAGAACGUCGGCCGAUACUGCCGUUCUUGAGGGAUGCAGAGGAGAUUGGAAUUCCCGGUGUAGCGGUGAAAUGUGUAGAGAUCGGGAGGAACACCGGUGGCGAAGGCGGGUCUCUGGACAGUUCCUGACGCUGAGGCACGAAGGUCAGGGGAGCAAACGGG
rnacentral:rRNA from 1 species